AUAAACUUUCCUUUGAGUCGCUGGGCAGCAAAACGAAAGCUGAAGAGCUGAUUAAUUAGUCCCUGCCCUAAUUUCCUGAGAAGUGCAGCCCGCCCCUCAUUUCCUUCUCUGUUAUCUUUUGCAGAACAGUAACAACCAACAGAGAGUUGUAAUCACAGAAUCUCUCUAUCCCCGGGGGCCCCCGCUCGAAAGGAAGGAAGCCCGCCCGUACUCCCCAGUCCCGGUCCGGUUUGGUCACUGAUAUCACCUAUCGUCGCUGGGCUCUCCUCUGGAUAUCUGAAGAUAACGCUAAGGAAUUCUGAUUUUCAAAUCCUGCUUCGGUCCUUGAAAAACGAAGAAAAAUCUCCUGAGCAGUGUUAGCAAUUUCUAUCAGCAAUAUUUCUCAAAA